rnacentral:rRNA from 1 species
UGAUGUGGUUUAAUUCGAUGCAACGCGAAAACCUUACCCACCUUUGACAUGUACGGAAUCCUUUAGAGAUAGAGGAGUGCUCGAAAGAGAGCCGUAACACAGGUGCUGCAUGGCUGUCGUCAGCUCGUGUCGUGAGAUGUUGGGUUAAGUCCCGCAACGAGCGCAGCCCUUGUCAUUAGUUGCUACAUUUGGUUGGGCACUCUAAUGAGACUGCCGGUGACAAGCCGGAGGAAGGUGGGGAUGACGUCAAGUCCUCAUGGCCCUUAUGGGUAGGGCUUCACACGUCAUACAAUGGUCGGGACAGAGGGUCGCCAACCCGCGAGGGGGAGCCAAUCCCAGAAACCCGAUCGUAGUCCGGAUUGCAGGCUGCAACUCGCCUGCAUGAAGUCGGAAUCGCUAGUAAUCGCGGAUCAGCAUGUCGCGGUGAAUACGUUCCCGGGUCUU